CCUACGGGAGGCAGCAGCUAAGAAUAUUCCGCAAUGGACGAAAGUCUGACGGAGCGACGCCGCGUGGAUGAUGAAGGCCGGAAGGUUGUAAAAUCCUUUUGUCGGGGAAGAAUAAGCAUGGGAGGGAAUGCCCGUGUGAUGACAUGAACCGGCGAAUAAGCCCCGGCUAACUACGUGCCAGCAGCCGCGGUAACACGUAGGGGGCGAGCGUUGUUCGGAAUUACUGGGCGUAAAGGGCAUGUAGGCGGUUCUGUAAGCCUGACGUGAAAGGCUAUGGCUCAACCAUGGCACUGCGUUGGGAACUGCGGGACUUGAAUCAUGGAGGGGGAGCUGGAAUUCCAGGUGUAGGGGUGAAAUCUGUAGAUAUCUGGAAGAACACCAGUGGCGAAGGCGAGCUCCUGGCCAAUGAUUGACGCUGAGGUGCGAAAGUGUGGGGAUCAAACAGGAUUAGAUACCCUUGUAGUCCA
rnacentral:rRNA from 1 species